rnacentral:rRNA from 1 species
UUUGGCCUCAAAUCAGGUAGGACUACCCGCUGAACUUAAGCAUAUCAAUAGGAGAAGCGUAGUUUCACCCCGCUUUAUCCCCUAACCUCAGGCCGGAUCCCAAAGGGAAU